AGCGAACGCUGGCGGCAGGCUUAACACAUGCAAGUCGAACGGGCAUCUUCGGAUGUCAGUGGCAGACGGGUGAGUAACACGUGGGAACGUACCCUUCGGUUCGGAAUAACUCAGGGAAACUUGAGCUAAUACCGGAUACGCCCUUUUGGGGAAAGGUUUACUGCCGAAGGAUCGGCCCGCGUCUGAUUAGCUUGUUGGUGGGGUAACGGCCUACCAAGGCGACGAUCAGUAGCUGGUCUGAGAGGAUGAUCAGCCACACUGGGACUGAGACACGGCCCAGACUCCUACGGGAGGCAGCAGUGGGGAAUAUUGGACAAUGGGCGCAAGCCUGAUCCAGCCAGGCCGCGUGAGUGAUGAAGGCCUUAGGGUUGUAAAGCUCUUUUGUCCGGGACGAUAAUGACGGGACCGGAAGAAUAAGCCCCGGCUAACUUCGU
rnacentral:rRNA from 1 species